AUGCCUGUAGCUCAAUGGAUCAGAGCGCCGGUCUCCGAAGCCGGAGGGUGCAGGUUCAAGUCCUGUCGGGCAUGCCA
rnacentral:tRNA from 1 species